UACGUAGGGUGCAAGCGUUGUCCGGAAUUAUUGGGCGUAAAGAGCGUGUAGGCGGCCAAACAGGUCAGCUGUGAAAACUCGAGGCUCAACCUCGAGACGUCGGUUGAAACCGUUUGGCUAGAGUCCGGAAGAGGAGAGUGGAAUUCCCGGUGUAGCGGUGAAAUGCGCAGAUAUCGGGAGGAACACCUAUGGCGAAGGCAGCUCGCUGGGACGUUACUGACGCUGAGACGCGAAAGCGUGGGGAGCAAACAGG
rnacentral:rRNA from 1 species